rnacentral:rRNA from 1 species
CUUCCUGUAGCAAUACAGGGAGUGGGCGCACGGCGCACGGGUGCGUAACACGUGGGCAAUCUGCCCUCGGAUGGGGGAUAACUCGUCGAAAGGCGAGCUAAUACCGCAUGACAUUCCGAAGACUCCGGUCUUUGGACUCAAAGGCCGCAAGGCCGUCUGAGGAGGAGCCCGCGCCCGAUUAGCUAGUUGGUGAGGUAAUGGCUCACCAAGGCUUUGAUCGGUAGCCGGUCUGAGAGGAUGGCCGGCCACACUGGAACUGAGACACGGUCCAGACUCCUACGGGAGGCAGCAGUGGGGAAUAUUGCGCAAUGGGCGAAAGCCUGACGCAGCGACGCCGCGUGGGGGAUGAAGCUUCUCGGAGUGUAAACCCCUUUCGACCCGGACGAAUGACCCGCAAGGGUUUGACGGUACGGGUAUAAGAAGCCCCGGCUAACUACGUGCCAGCAGCCGCGGUAAUACGUAGGGGGCCAGCGUUGCUCGGAAUUACUGGGCGUAAAGGGUUCGUAGGUGGUGCGGCAAGUUGGGAGUGAAAUCUCUGGGCUUAACUCAGAGGCUGCUUUCAAAACUGCCGUGCUCGAGUGCGAGAGAGGCCAGUGGAAUUGCAGGUGUAGCGGUGAAAUGCGUAGAUAUCUGCAGGAACACCCGUGGCGAAGGCGGCUGGCUGGAUCGCAACUGACACUGAGGAACGAAAGCUAGGGGAGCAAACAGGAUUAGAUACCCUGGUAGUCCUAGCCCUAAACCAUCAGAACUUGGGGUGGCCCGCGUAGGCGGGUCGUCCCGUAGCUAACGCGUUAAGUUCUGCG